GCCGAAAUAAUGCACCUGCUAGAGCACGUCAUUCGUACUGACUGGGGGUGGGGGUUCGAAUCCCUCUUGCGGCACCU
rnacentral:tRNA from 1 species